rnacentral:rRNA from 1 species
GACGAACGCUGGCGGCGUGCUUAACACAUGCAAGUCGAACGGAAGGGCCCUGCUUUUGUGGGGUGCUCGAGUGGCGAACGGGUGAGUAACACGUGAGUAACCUGCCCUUGACUUUGGGAUAACUUCAGGAAACUGGGGCUAAUACCGGAUAGGAGCUCCUGCUGCAUGGUGGGGGUUGGAAAGUUUCGGCGGUUGGGGAUGGACUCGCGGCUUAUCAGCUUGUUGGUGGGGUAGUGGCUUACCAAGGCUUUGACGGGUAGCCGGCCUGAGAGGGCGACCGGCCACAUUGGGACUGAGAUACGGCCCAGACUCCUACGGGAGGCAGCAGUGGGGAAUAUUGCACAAUGGGCGGAAGCCUGAUGCAGCAACGCCGCGUGCGGGAUGACGGCCUUCGGGUUGUAAACCGCUUUCGCCUGUGACGAAGCGUGAGUGACGGUAAUGGGUAAAGAAGCACCAGCUAACUACGUG